AGGAUGAACGCUGGCGGCGUGCCUAAUACAUGCAAGUCGAGCGGUAAGGCCUCUUCGGAGGUACACGAGCGGCGGACGGCUGAGUAACACGUAGGAACGUACCCCAAAGUGAGGGAUAAGCACCAGAAAUGGUGUCUAAUACCGCAUGUGCUCUAAGGAGUAAAGCUUCGGCGCUUUGGGAACGGCCUGCGCAUGAUUAGCUUGUUGGUGAGGUAAAAGCUCACCAAGGCGACGAUCAUUAGCUGGUCUGAGAGGAUGAUCAGCCAGACUGGGACUGAGAACGGCCCAGACUCCUACGGGAGGCAGCAGUAGGGAAUUUUCCACAAUGGGC
rnacentral:rRNA from 1 species